CACCCCGACGCGAUCCACUCCCACCCCACCACUCUCUCUCUCGCUCUCUCAUCCCUAAAAAAACUAUCUCACGAACUCCGCACGAUCCCCUCGGUCCACCCCACCCCGGCUCCUCUCCUCACGAUCUCCUCGCCGCCGCCCCCACCCACGCCGGCUGGUUCCCGCGAGCACCGGCCGCGCGCAACACCCCACCUCCUCCCCCUCCCCCUCCCUUCCCCUUUAUCCUCCGCCCGCCCCUUCUCUCUCCUCCUUCCUCCUGGCGGCCGGUGAUGGGCGCGGACGAGGAGGAGCACCAGUCCCCCGCGCGGACUACGGCGCCGCCACCUACUGGGACGCCCGCUACUCCUCUCCCUCCACUGGCGGCAAGGGCGGUGGCAGCGGGUUCUUCGACUGGUACCAGUCGUACUCGGCGCUCCGCCCUUUCCGCGCCUGAGUGAGCACCUCCUCCCGGGCCCUCAUGCUCGGCUGCGGCAACUCCCUUUUGUCAGAGGACAUGGUAAAGGAUGGUUACCAGAACAUAGUAAACAUAGACAUCUCAUCCAUUGUAAUCGAGUAGAUGAAAGAGAAGCACAUGGAUGGGCUCGCCAACUAGCAGACGAGGAGGAGGAGGAGGAGCGCGGGGCCCUGAGGGGGAACGCGAACGACCGGCCCCAGGAGGAGGAGGAAGACGAUGAGGAGGAGGAGGAGAGGAGGGCUCCGGAGAGGCGACCCAUGCAGGUCGAGCUGCACCGGGACUGCCCCUACCUCGACACCGUCAAUCGAUAGGCAAGAAGAACGCGGAGAAAAACAAGACAUUGGCAGAUGUUCUUGUUCGGUCAGACAUCUCAUAGGAAGGACGAAGGUUUCUCAGAACUACAGAUGCUGCUCUAUAAUCAAUUAUGAAGUUAUUUUUGUGGGGUAAUCAAUUAGGAAGCUGAUGGUGGUAGCUUACUGAACUCUCAUUUUGGGGCAAAUCUGGAGAUGUCUUGGACUGAUGGAGUUUCGUGAUCAACUUACUAUAUCCUGUUCUGAGGGCACCCCAGCACACGGGGUGCGAUGCAUGUGUACGAUAGCUUCCUCCAUCCGCUGGUGGCGUGGCAUGAGGCCAACAUCGACCGGGGCCUACUGAGCUGAGAGCUAGGGCGAGGGACGUGACGGCGUCACAACUCAAGGCGGCUGUAACACCCUCGAUGCGACUAUAGCUCCCACGUGUCGAGGCACGACUUAGAGACACAAUCGCAUUGAAGGCAUAUGUCGCAAGUUAGUUAAUCUUCACAACAUCCCAUGUAAUAUAAAUAAUA